rnacentral:lncRNA from 1 species
CACCUUAUUCUUCUUCAAAUCAUUUCUCAUAUUUUCGUAACUUUUUUCUUAACAUUUACCAAACAAUUCAAAGCCAUCAUUUUCUUUCUUCACUUCUUUGACUUUUUCAAGAGAUUUUCUACCUAUAAGCCCUUCUUAGCCCCUCACUCAUCUAAUUUUUCUUUCUUUUCUUUUCUCAAAUUCUAUGAGCUAGGGUAUUUAACUUUAUCAUCAAGCAUAUCUCUUGUCUUUUAAGAACACGC